CUUAGGGCUCACACACUUUUAAAUGUUCAAGUUUUCAAUUUAGAUUUUUAUUGUGUUUGAUAAACAGUAUUACACUAUAUACAUCAUCCAUUCCUUGCUUGAGGUUACUUGGGUUUAAACACACUUAAGCACCCUCUCCUCAUACUCAUCUAUUCAGUUAGAUACGGGAUGAACAUUUAAAGGGGCACUAGAGUCACCAGAACAACUACAGCUUAAUGUUGUUGGUUUGUUAAAUAUAAU